rnacentral:lncRNA from 13 species
GCCCAGUAUAUAAAAUAGUAGAUGGACAAAUACUCUCCUUGGCAGUGCCCACAUUCUUUUUUUCCCCUGAAUUUCCCUUCCUAAUAGGACUGCAGCUUAGCCAACUGGACCUCGGGAAAGUGAAGGGCCCUUCCCAAGUUGUAUGAAAAAUGUGACGCCAUGCCUCAGUGAUUCACAUAGCUAAGCCCAGGCUCCAGAAGCUGAUGAGAGAUGAGGAGACAAGCAGAUGAAGAGUAUGGCAAAGAAAGAGAGAAGAGAAGAAACUCCUGAAUGCAAAGAGUAGUUUGACGGGGGUUAGUCAGAGAGGAGUUUGACCACUGGACAGCCAAAAUCUAGGGGAAGACCAUCUUCCCACUCCAUCCUCCCUUCCAGUUCCCCUUCCAUCCCACUGAGAGCCACCUCCACCACUCAGUUAAACCCUGUAUUCAUCCCUCAAGUCUCUGUGUGACCCAAUUCUUAUGGGAUGCUGGACAAAAUCUCGGGAUACAGAAAGCUGUCACACUGGCCCUCUGCAUUUGUGGAAAGGCAGAGGGGGCACCGAGCUGGUUAACAGGAAACACAGAAUGACGUCCCAGAUUUGCAACAUGUUGAAAUGGCUGACUCCUUCUGAUGCCCCUGAUGUGUUCUGACAUUCACAAGCGCUCCACACAGAACCCCAUCUGCACCGACGUGUAUGUUCUCUUAAGCUCCAACACUGACACAUCAUCCCACUUUACCUUUUAUUAUCCCUUUGUUGUAAUAGGUAUUCAAAUACAA